rnacentral:misc_RNA from 1 species
UUCAGGGAUAGUUAUUAAAAUUUACCCAAUUUUCUUUGAUGCGAAAGGGUUACUUGAUAAUGUAUUCUUUCCUGCUCAUGUUCAAACAACAACAUUAAUCAUAAUUCACAUGCUUCCAAAUGAUUUGAUGAUCGUCCAGAAGAAAUUAAUCUAUUUUAACAUGUCCUCUAUCAGCAGGGGCACUGAUGUAGUGCAUAUCAGUUUUGGAAUCCAGAUCAUUGGCAAAGUGAAACUGACUUAACACCAUGCCUAUAUACUUCACUUUAUUAUCUUAGAUGUGAUAAUCAAAUUUUAGGGCCCUAGUUCUGCACUCAUGGAAGAAAGAUAAAUACCAUGUGAAAGUAUCAGAGUAACAUUAGAUGUGAAAAAAUUUUCAGAACAACUUUAUUUACUCAAGCCAUGAAUUAUUAAUAUAUAU